rnacentral:rRNA from 1 species
AUUGAACGCUGGCGGCAGGCCUAACACAUGCAAGUCGAACGAGUGGCGGACGGGUGAGUACUGUCUGGGAACCUGCCCGAUGGAGGGGGAUACCUACUGGAAACGGUAGCUAAUACCGCAUACCAUCGGAUGUGCCCCGAUGGGAUUAGCUCGUAGGUGGGGUAACGGCUCACCUAGGCGACGAUCCCUGGCUGGUCUGAGAGGAUGACCAGCCACACGGGAAAGGAGACACGGCCCAGACUACUACGUGAGGCAGCAGUGGGGAAUAUUGCACAAUGGGCGCAAGCCUGAGGCAGCCAUGCCGGGUGUAUGAAGAAGGCCGUCGGGUUGUAAAGUACGUUCAGCGAGGAGGCGGUACUCGCAGAAGAAGCACCGGCUAACUCCGUGCCAGCAGCCGCGGUAAUAC